UGGGCUGUUAGCAGGGGAGGCAGAAGAACCAAAGAUAUUAUUUUCAUUUCUCAUUGGGAAGGACAGUUUCAAACUGGGGGAGGAGAACAGGAACCAAAUCAAUUCAGAUAACAAAAGCAAACCUUUCUUGAAACAACAAAACAAAACACAGAGGUUCAGGUGAGCUGAAGCUGUGUCAACUGAAGAAGAUUUAUCCACGAGUCACUGCCUAACACCUCCCUGCUGGAAGUCAGGUUCUAUACAGGUGCUCUCUAACCUGCUCAGUGAAAAUGCAUGAUGUGAGCUGAAGCAGUGACUUGCACAUCUCCAUCACUCAUUGACUCGGGAGCAUCUGCAGGAGCAGCUGAGCCAGCAGCUCGCUGGGGCCAUACCCUUCGUACCCUCCUGCAAGGUGAUGCAAGGAAAAGAGAGGGAAGACCAAAGGCGCUAGCUGAAGAUGGAUGAGGAAGUCCAGCCAGUUCAGGCAGGUUCAGUUGUCACCACCAGCAAACUAUGAGACUAACGUAAAGCUUUAGGAAUAGGUACCUCCCUGAGUAUCCCUGCCCCUUUAGCAGACUGCAUGGCAUUCUGCAGGAAAGUACAAGGCAGGUGGAAGCUGGCUGUGGAUUAUCCUGGCACGGUCUAGGUCACUAAGACUUAACAUGAGCAUGGGAACACCGACUAGAUUUUAAGCCUGAAGACCAUGAAAUCAUCUAUGUUACCUAAAACAGCCAUACAAUUUUAUGCCUUUUUUUGCCAUAUGUGCUUAAUAACCUGCAUUGCUGAAUGAACUGCACUGUCAUGGCCUAGUGUUUCAAGCAUUUGAAGACACGGAAUGAUCUAGAAUUCAGUGCUGAUUUGGCCAUUAUGUUAAAAUAUGUUGCUACUUUGGCAAUGAAAUACCUGGGUUUAACUGCCAUUCAUUGUUCUGUGACGUGCAGCCACAUUCUGCACCAAAGGCUGUUUCAUGAGCAUCGUAACACACUGUGAUCAAAUUUCUCCUUGAUUUAAUUAAUAAUUAAUAAUUCAGCUAAAACAAACUAAGCUUGUCAGUAGUCUUCCAGUGACAAACACAGAACCACCUGUUUGACACUCUCCUGAAUCCAUUUUUUCAAUAUCUUCUGAUAUUAAUAAACAUUAAAAAAGAAAAAUAUAGGACUCCUUCCAUCCUCUAGGUUUGCAUCUAAAAUCUCAAACUAUAGAAGCUAUAAGAGGCAGAGUGAAUGGCCACAAAAGGACAGUUUAUCAGGAUUUCUAUCUGUUUCAGGUUCUAAAAUAAGCUUUUAAACUGGAGACAUUUUUUCCACUCGUCUACCUUCUAAAGCUACAACUGGGAGACUGGGUCAUAUAUAAGCUAUAGAGAUAAGCAUUUAAUGGAACUAUAAUUAUAUUUUUAAUAUAAAAUUAUAAUCAUUAAGCAUAUGGGAUGAUUCGCUCUGCAAUUCGAACACAGAAGAGCUGUUCAGAAUGACAGCUGGGAUGCUAGGCUCAUUGAAAUCAAUGGAAAAAUCCUGUUGACAUCAGUGGACUGAAUACUUAGCAUUUGUAAUUUCCCAGAGAAGGCUUAACAGCAAAAUAAAUCAUUUUUUCAAGAUGUUUUGGUGUUACUGUGCUACAGAAGAAUGUAAGAAUGUUCAAAGAUCUGUCAAAAAAGAUAGACAUCGAAUACCGAUGAAGGAAAGGCACCAUACACAUAUAAAACCCUAUCAUUUUACCUGCAGACCUUUUGUAGACAAUUUGAAAUUAUAUACAUUACUAUUAUAGAAUACUGGUUUUGCUGCAGAGGUGCUAUGCAAGCUGCAGCACUGAGAAUUUUGUGUAAUUUAUCCUGUUACAACCUCUGCUUUUAUUUAUGACCAAAUGAAUUCAGCAUAGCAUUUCUCUUCUUAGCUCUUUAAAAUGGAGACUGUAUUUCCUACCAGAUUAUCCCAUGUAAAGUGAUUUGAUAAUACAUACUAAUUUCCAAAAUGAAUUAGCUGAGCCAUAAAGGCUAGUUAUAAUUGUUGCCUUUGAUUCUGAACCAAGGUCCAGAAAUACAUUAGAAUUUUUUCCAGUCAAUUUUUAUCCCAUAAGCCAAACGACCCAAAUAUUUUCUUUUCCUUUAAGAAAAGUGUAGUCCUGUUUUAAUCUCAGAACACCUGUAUGACUUUUAAGCCACAACGCUGAAUCAUUUGGUAAGAGAUCAAACAGAACAGCAUUGGUUUUGAUUGCUAUUCAUUUAUGUGCUGCCAAAACACAUUACACUGCUUUUCAAAUGUGUCGUGAUGAUUACUGCUUCCAAAGCCGAUUGCGUUUCUACAGGUGAUGAGCUCUGUUUUGUUGCCUCUGUCAAAAAUGAACACUUGCAUUGUGAAUAAUCUCUCUCACAGGUUCUGAAACACAUGAAGGGACUUAGCAAGUUUGUAAAAAUUAUCACUAAAAUUAUUUAAGUGGUAUUUUUUGUUGAUAUAAGAUCUAGUAAGCCUAACAUAAAUAGCACCUAGGCAGGUGUUGAUGAUGUAAUUUUCUAGUUUUCUAAAAGACUGUGGGUCUGAGACAAUUAUGACUGACAUCAACAGAUAAUUUAUCAGUGCAUUUCCAGUCAAGCCCAGAAAACCCUUCCCAAACGAGCAAGAUGCUUAUCUGUGUGAAUGGAUCCAUUCUAUUUAGAUGAUGAAGUUGUAUAUGGGAAUUGGUCUUUUGCUGACUGGGCCUUCAGCUGUCACAUUUUCUGACUAGUCAUGUUUUCAAAACUCCAGUACAAAAUCCUUUUACCUAUUAAGAUUUUUUUCAAGACAUUCAUAGCCGUGCACCUACAUAACUUGCAAUUACAGUUUGCCUAUGAUUUUUUGAACUUGUUCGAGUGGAAUCCACCCAUCACCCUCCUAAAUUACAGGACACCUGCCACUUGAAUAAAUACUUAAUGUCAAGAAGCGUCAAUUGAAUAGAAUUAAAAUACAGCACUUCAACACUAAUUCCUACAUUGUAGCUGUAAGUCAUUCUCAUGAGUAAAGUGACUCUUAUUAUAAAGCAGGUGUAGCUUUCAUGGCUAUAUUAUGUCUUGUGGGUCAACGCAAAGAAUAUGUCAGUGAACAAACUGCUAUGACAUACAGAGCCCUAGGAAGGAUUUGUGAUGAAGCACAAAAAUAGGUUAGUUACAAAACUUAAUAAACAAUUCAGUAUUAAGCUUUUCCAUCUAAAAGCACUUUAUGCAAAACAGGCAACAUUGUGAAAAAAUGAGAUCCGUUUUUUCAAAACAGACCUUCUCUUGUUUACUUUGAAAUACAUUUAAAAAAAAAUAACUUACAUAAAUGCCUUGCUUCCAUGGCCUUAUGAAAGCUUUUUCUGAAAUGCACAUUUUAUAGGAUGAAACAGCAUAGAAAAAGUGCAUAGUUUCUCAGUAGUCCAAAGUUGUCCAAGGUUCUUAGCAAGACUUUCAAAGUGUGAAGAAGAUAUAAAAUGGUGCUGCAAGUGUAGUGAAAUGGUACCAUAAUAAAGCUCCCUUAGAUGUUUUACAAAGUGGAAAAAUUUAUGAUUCUGGACCUACAGAUUUUCUAAUAUUUGAGACAACUAAUUAUGAAUAGCAAGAGGGGAAGAGAAAAUUAAGAUUACAAAGAGAAAUACCAUGUAGUCUCUCUGCCACAAUAUGUAUCCAGCUGCCUGAACCAAAUUUUUUUAAUAUGUGAAAAUCUAUAACAAUUAUAUUUUUCAACAGGGUUUUUAGUAGGAGGCAAAAUUUGUACAUUCAUCACACAAAGCUGGUAAAGCAAAACAACUUAGAAAAGACUGAUCAAAUUGAUGUAAUCUCAUUUUUUUCCUAUUACAGCUAGAUAGCUCUUGAAUUUUAACAGAAUCUCACUGCCCUUUUUAUAUGAUUCAAAAGUCGAGAACAUAUGCAGAGACAAACAAAAAAACCCCACCAAAAUAUGUGCUAGAGAAAUUCCUGCAAAUGCAAGCUUUGCACAGUUGUUCUGGAAUAGAAAUGAGCCAGCCAUUUGAAUCGGUUUUUUAAACAAAAUGCUUGUUUCUUCUGCAUAGAUUUUCUCAAUGGGAGUGACCUUUAGUUGGCACCACGGAACACUCAGUUGUUGAAAAGUUGGAAAAAAUAAAAAUAAAACAAGUUUUUGCAUUUGCCUUUUGAAUGUAUCUCUGUUUUCCUGCAACCUGCCAGUAACGCUUCAAUUCCAGCUGAUGCCUCAGGAUGCCUAAUGCUGAAGAUUUAUCCCACUUAUCUAAUGAAUGCUACUUUUAAGGAUGUUGUAAGUCAAAAACAGGAUCACAGUCACAGUAUGAGGGUUCACAACUAAUUUCCCCAAAACAUAGCAUGCAUCUAGAUGUAUUAAUCAGAAAUGUUAAAUGUCAGAGCCUGCCCUAAGGAGUUUUCUUCUGGGACCUGCCCAAAUGUGGACUCAGACUCUUCUCCUGAUCUGUUUUGGCCAGCUGUUUUCACGGAGUUUCAGACUAAGUAAGAUAAAACUCAAAGGAAUAGAUGACCUCACGAGACUUUCACUCCUUAGAGUAGAAGCCUACUAAGAGGACUUUAUGAUAUUUCCCAGCUGUCAAAGUCAUAAGGAAAGCCUCGCAUUAACUGAUUUAAUAUAAUAGAAACAAGUACCUCCAGACUCCAAUAAUUUGGCCAACACCAAGUUUGCAUUUAAAGAUCUUCUAUAAAAACAAAAUCUGAAUUUAUUCUCCACAAAUCUAUGUGUGCAAUGAUUCUACUAAAUAUACCCUUUACAGAAAACAUUUCACAUUUCUUUCCAGAAUGCAUCUAUUUUAAUUAGCUGAAUGUGAUAAUGGAACUGUGUCAGUUUUCAGGUUUCCAGCAUUUAAACCAAAUAUUUUAGUUCACAAGGAUGGGAGCUGCUCUGUGGGAUAUUUCUGUGGCAGGUGGCAGCCUGCUUUCUUUCAACACACACCAUGCAUGCAUUCAUUAAAAAAUAAAAAAAAAAAAAAAAAAGAGAAAGCACUGAAUAAAUUCCAAUUUGGCAUGAUUAUGUGAUGUGUGGCCUUUUGUGCAUGGAAACUCUCACCUAUUGGCACUUGCAAUUUUAGUAUCAUGUAAUUAAAUUGAUUUUUUUGUCAAGUCAUUUUUAAACUAUGUCUUUGAGGUAAAAGGCCAGUGCAUUAAUCCACUGUGGAAUUUAUUAUUUAAAUACUAAUCAAGAGGUCAAUUAAUGUUUUCAUUGCUUCUCUAAAUGAGUAAUGGAGUACUGCUUAGAGCUCUUGGGAGAGUCUACUGUUAAAUAGGAAUCUGAUUUCAUUCCUUCUUUUCAAAUGGCCCUAAAUGUACUUAUUAUGCAACUCUUACCUUCUGUGUAGCAAAUGGAAUGUUUCACUUGAACUCUAAUCCCUAUACUGCACAUCCAGAGCCCCGAGUUUCUAGAAUAUGCUAGGAUUUUAGUCCCAGUUUUCAAAUCCACAUCUAUUUUGAAGUAAAAGUGUGUCAUGAAUAUGCGGCUGAUUUAAUUGCAAGAAUGAAAGUCUCUCCAUGUGACAGACAUGAACUAGGAAGUUUCUAUUUGAUUCAUAUUAUCAACAAUAUUGAACAGAAGGAGACGUAAGUCAGCAAGGGAUGAUUAGCCACUUUGCUAAAAUUGAUCCAUGCGUAUGGAAGAAGAGAUUUUGAUAUAUACAUUCCAGAGUUUAAUAAACACCUACAUAAGCUCUAUUUUCCCCACUCACUAUAGAUAACAUUACCUAAUGCAUUUUGUACGAAAGCCAGACUUCCAGUUCCUUUAUCCUAUGGGAGUCAGACUUGAACAGGUACUUCAUCACAUAAUGAUAUUCCAGAAUGCUAUAAACUGAUCACGGUGCAACAUACUUCUCCUCAUAGUUACCUGCUUCAUUAUAAAUUCUAAAAUUUUCCUGGCCCAAAAGUGUGCUGGCUGUCUCAGCUAGGAGCAGAGAUGCUAGAUGUCAGCACAGGAAAGAACUGGUUCAAGAUCAUCAUCCCAGCACAGUCUUGCUCACUGUCCCCCUGGCAUCUGUUACUUUUCCCUCUGUAUCCUUUGGUCUCUUGCGCAAAGUGGAAAAAUCAAAUAGACAGGGAGAGAGACACUGUCAUACCAGUUUAUAUUAAGAAUAUGUAGAACUGUUUCAAGAAGUGAUGUUUAAUUUCUUCCCACUGUUGCAUUUGGGAACAAGGUUAAUUGACCAGCUAAAAUCUGACUUUGCUACUGCAUCUGAUGUUUAUACGAGCAAGGAAGAGCUAUAGACAUGACCUAGAACCUCCUGCAUUGUUCAAAUGCAUUCUUCAAGUCAGGUCUCCAGUAUUACUUGGGCAGUUAGAGUGGAUUUUUGCAUCUAAAUGAAUAGUGAUAAGUAAGGGCAAGUAAAAUACAUCUCAUUAUGACAUCUUAGUGAUCAGAACUAGUUUUUAAAGUGCCAUGAAAUACAGUUUAGAAGACAUCACUACUCUACUGGUAAAUAACACAAAAAGACGAAUAUGUACCGACAAGAGAGGGUUUGGGAAGAAUUUUAGACCCUUAAAAUAUAAGCUUUACCCCAGCAGAAAGGAGAGUAGGACCCAAGCAUGACCAUUAAAACAGAAAUGGAAAAGAAAAUGUGAACACUGACCAACAGGGAACAUGACUGAGCUCUGAACUGAAAGAAGACAGAAAAUUUCCUUCAAAUACUUUGUGUAAAAAAACCUCUUUUACUAAAGUUAAGUUGCAGCUGCCUCUUCUUUGACCUUGCCCAUCUAGUCCUCAUCUGUGAUGCAUGAAGUGAGAAGCAAGGUGCUGAAAUGCAAACAGGACUGCAAAUGAGGAUCAUGUAUGUGCAUGUGUUGCUGGGACUUUCAGAGAGAGCCUAAAAGCAAAUCUACCACAGAAAUCCAACAUUACUGCUACUCAUCAAGACAGGCGGGCACUCAAGGCAAUCAAGUAGGUUGUCCAUUGCUUAGCAGAGGUAGUUAAUUGAUAAUUCUCCACAUCCAUUUGAAGAAGAAUGCUCAAUAGUAGGAUUUUCUUCAUGUAAAGGAUGCAGCUUCUUUACUAUGCCACUGACUUUUUUUGUUUUUCUACUUUUUUUUGCAUCGGACUUUUGUCUGCAACUGAAGCUUCAAAGCCUAGGGUCCUACUGUCAGGGCUUAUUUCCUUUACUGGCUCUUGCCCCCUUUCAGACUAAGGCAAUAUAAAUGAAACUGACAAUUUUUCAUUACUAGUAUGUUUUUCAUGGGGUUUGAACUUCAUAUUCAAAGGUUUCUUCUCACAGGAAAAGAAAAUCAUGUUUAGUUUCCAUUACAUUAACACCCAAAAGCUUACUUUGAGCCAACUGCAAUACGAUGCUCUUAAAAAGACAAUUUCUGCUCCAGAGGCCCUAUGAUUUUAUAUUAUUUCUAACAGUUCUAUUUCUGACUGUGCUGAGCGCUUAGCCAAGAUGCAAUCUGACAAAUGAGGCUCAGAAUAUGACUACUGCUAAUUAGCAGGUGUUAACAACUGAAAAGAUACAUGUGGUACUAAUACUUCAUUGCCAACAGAGAGAAGGGCUUCCUGCAUGAUGAGGGGUUAUUCACAGGGUUGCAGUGGUUCCUGAAGCAAGUCUAUUGUUGUUGGCACCCAUACUGCAGGGACAAAGAUCGUAUCGGCUGUGUGUAGGCACUAAGCCAUCCCGACAGAUGGCUUCUGUUGUGGGUAGAGCGUAUACGUUGUAUGCAAUAUGCUAGGGCAGCGAUGCUCACUUAGGCCAACUGGAGUGUCUGCCUUACCUUGAUUUUCCGCACUGCCAUUACUGACUCAGUUCUGCAGUCAGUGUGUUUUAAAAACCUGCUCACACAGAGAUUUUCAGUAUUCCUGGACUUUGCAGCGAGCUUGAGAGGUAAGAAGGGUAACAGUAAUGACAAUCCCAUCACCACCUUUCAUCCUUCAGCUAGAAGAAUACGGUGGUAUGAGCCAGAAAUUUUUUGGUAGGCCUGCCAAGGUCUGUAAAUGCAUCAACAAGGGGAAGAAACUCAGUGAUAGUCCCUGUGCUUGAAUGAAAAGCACGUGUGGGGACACCUGAAUCUCUAGUGCAUUCAAGUGAGAGAGCUUUCUGCGUAACUGCUGCUGUCCUGUGGCAAAGCAGUUUUAUAUACUGGAGGUAUUUUAGGAAAAUGUACUUAUUUCCCAGUAAGAAACUACUUUACUGAAAGCAUUUCUCAAAUGACAGGAAACCAACAGUUUCAUCAUGAGGUCAAUUCUUGAUAUUUUGUCUAUUUAUCUGCAUCACAGGAGAGAGUAACAUAAUGCCUCUGGUUAUAUAUAUGUCCCUAAAAUUGAGAAUGGGAAAGUUAUUUUCUAUACAACAAUAACAAAUGUAGCUUUCUUUCAAAUUGUGCAGUGUCAUCAGCGAUGAAUAAUAUAUGACUAGUACAGCACGUGGCAUGAGAACAACUAGUUUCCUGACCAGCCAGAUCAGCGAAGCCUGGUUUCCUAAGGAGCUGUUCCUGGCCUUCUCUCCCAGCGCUCACGUUGCCACGUCUUGGUGCUCUCACUUCUUGUGAUCUCUGUACUGUCCGCAGUGUAAUGCACCAUCAUCAGUUUUCCCACAAUCUUCCUUGCACACUGUAGUAUUUCAGCUCUCCCCUGUGUUUUCUAUUUACCAUUUUGAAGAUGUUGGCUGCCCAGGAGUCAGUCCGUGCUUGUAGGCAGCCUGCAGCUAGUAUCUGUUAAUUUGUCAGCCAGUCCAAACGGAAUGGGACCUGCCUUUUGGACAAAAUAUAGUCUUCCUCCUCUAUCAAACUUAGUUGCCAUUCAAACGCUAAAAGUAGGGCUAAGAUCAGAGGUAUUUUGUUCACACAGAAGUUCCGACAAAUAAAACCUGCUUUUGCCCUUAUAUCUAAAAUACUCAGACUAUUUUUAUGUAUUAUCCUACCUUUGAAGCAAGUACUUUAUUCACUUAUUUUUUCUUUGCUACUUAACAUGUCAUGUUAACAUUUUAUUGACUCCAAAGUGUCUGAUUAUUAUGCUUUAUGUUCUUUACAGAAGCAACCCCUGACCCUCUUCCUUCGCUUUUCAACAGAGAUUUACUAGUAAAGGCUGAAGUGCAUAACAAUGUUAGGGAGGCCUCGUGAUUCCAGUAUAUCAUGCUUCUGAGCGUUUGUUCUGUUUUCAUUACUUAACUGUACUUCCCAAAAUGACUAUCUGUCAUUUAUCAAAGUAAUGUACCUUUAAUAAAUAUUAUCCUUUCAUUUUGAUUAUAUUUGCUCCAAUAUGCAAUAUUUGCAACCAUCAUUUCAAAAGGGGCUUUCCUUCAGGAUUAUGAAUAUGAGAGGCUUUUUGCUAUUCAGUUGAAAUUAUAUAGAUCAUAAAUUAAAGAAAAAAUGGAAACAACUGUGAUCGAAUUAAAUUGUGAAACACAACCUUCUUAUGAACCCUUGUAAUUCAUUGCUUGCAGAGCUCAGUCUUAUUUAACUAGAACCCAGGAGACAGUAUUCUAGAGACAGAAUGAAAAGCUCCUUACCGUAUGCCUUGCUGUGGAACAUGAUAUUGUAUAAAACUUAUAACAUCAUUAGAUUGCUGGUAGAUUGUUGGAAUCGAUAAGGACAGAACGUGUUUUCUGAUGUUUGUUUCACCUGAGAAACUUAUUCUUGGUUUGUAUUGAUUCAUUCUGAUGUAUGGCAGCAAUAUCAUGAAAUGUUCUAGUCUCUGAGUUCCAAACAAAGGUUAUUUGAGAAUCUGUAUAUAUUUGUCUUACCAUUCGAUGUGAUUAUCUAUGAAAAACAUGUCUCAUAUUUUUAAUAUAAAUUGCCAGGCAUUCUCCAUCCACUGUAACAGUUUAAAUGCUGAACCAAAAUGUAAAUCCAUUCCUUCUGACAUAUGAAGAAAUAGUAUUUGCUUCAUCAUUGAUUUCUGCUCAUGUUUACAGUUCAUCAAUGGAAAUGUAUUUAUGUAACACAGUCAUUGUGAAAUUCAACACUUUUUAAUCCACGACUUCAUUUUUUUUAGUGUUUUGGACAAUGUAUGUGUGUACCUGUCUUGUAAUAAAGAGGAUGUGUGAAAAUUUA